rnacentral:rRNA from 1 species
CUAAUCUGCGAUAAGCGUCGGUAAGGUGAUAUGAACCGUUAUAACCGGCGAUUUCCGAAUGGGGAAACCCAGUGUGUUUCGACACACUAUCAUUAACUGAAUCCAUAGGUUAAUGAGGCGAACCGGGGGAACUGAAACAUCUAAGUACCCCGAGGAAAAGAAAUCAACCGAGAUUCCCCCAGUAGCGGCGAGCGAACGGGGAGCAGCCCAGAGCCUGAAUCAGUGUGUGUGUUAGUGGAAGCGUCUGGAAAGGCGCGCGAUACAGGGUGACAGCCCCGUACACAAAAAUGCACAUACUGUGAGCUCGAUGAGUAGGGCGGGACACGUGGUAUCCUGUCUGAAUAUGGGGGGACCAUCCUCCAAGGCUAAAUACUCCUGACUGACCGAUAGUGAACCAGUACCGUGAGGGAAAGGCGAAAAGAACCCCGGCGAGGGGAGUGAAAAAGAACCUGAAACCGUGUACGUACAAGCAGUGGGAGCACGCUUCGGCGUGUGACUGCGUACCUUUUGUAUAAUGGGUCAGCGACUUAUAUUCUGUAGCAAGGUUAACCGAAUAGGGGAGCCGAAGGGAAACCGAGUCUUAACUGGGCGUUAAGUUGCAGGGUAUAGACCCGAAACCCGGUGAUCUAGCCAUGGGCAGGUUGAAGGUUGGGUAACACUAACUGGAGGACCGAACCGACUAAUGUUGAAAAAUUAGCGGAUGACUUGUGGCUGGGGGUGAAAGGCCAAUCAAACCGGGAGAUAGCUGGUUCUCCCCGAAAGCU